rnacentral:rRNA from 1 species
UACGAAGGGGGCUAGCGUUGCUCGGAAUUACUGGGCGUAAAGGGCGCGUAGGCGGAUGGCACAGUCAGAUGUGAAAUUCCCGGGCUUAACCUGGGGGCUGCAUUUGAUACGUGUGAUCUAGAGUGAGGAAGAGGGUCGUGGAAUUCCCAGUGUAGAGGUGAAAUUCGUAGAUAUUGGGAAGAACACCGGUGGCGAAGGCGGCGACCUGGUCCUUGACUGACGCUGAGGCGCGAAAGCGUGGGGAGCAAACAGG